ACCUCCCCGGUCAGCAACAAGACCCAGGCCCUCGCACGGUCCUGGCUGUUCUUAUCAGUUUAAUAUCUGAUACGUCCCCUAUCUGGGGACCAGAUAUUAAAUUGAUUUUUGGAACAGGGAGAUGGAAUAGGGGCUUGCUCCAUCCACUCCACGCAUCGACCUGGUAUUGCAGUACCUCCAGGAACGGUGCACCCCUG